rnacentral:rRNA from 1 species
UACGUAGGUGGCGAGCGUUUGUCCGGAUUUACUGGGCGUAAAGAGCGCGCAGGCGGUCGUCCAAGUCGAAUGUGAAAGCCCCCCGGCUCAACUGGGGGAGGGUCAUUCGAUACUGUUCGACUCGAAGGCAGGAGAGGGAAGUGGAAUUCCGGGUGUAGUGGUGAAAUGCGUAGAUAUCCGGAGGAACACCAGUGGCGGAAGCGACUUUCUGGCCUGUUCUUGACGCUGAGGCGCGAAAGCUAGGGGAGCAAACGGGG